rnacentral:rRNA from 1 species
UACGUAGGGGGCAAGCGUUGUCCGGAAUCAUUGGGCGUAAAGAGCGUGUAGGCGGCUCGGUAAGUCCGCUGUAAAAGUCAAAGGCUCAACCUUUGAAUGUCAGUGGAUACUGCCGGGCUAGAGUCCGGAAGAGGCGAGUGGAACUCCUGGUGUAGCGGUGGAAUGCGCAGAUAUCAGGAAGAACACCAACGGCGAAGGCAGCUCGCUGGGACGGUACUGACGCUGGAGACGCAAAAGCGUGGGGAGCGAACAGG